AACUCCGCCAUAUUGACUAGCUGAUCGAGGGUGUGCCAAAAAUUCACUGGAAAACUUAGUAAAAUUUGAGGUAUGUAACUAAGGUUGUUAGAUAUAAGUAAACAAUAAUUCACACAAUGUGCUACUCAAGUUAUGGACAGUUAAGAGCUUAUGAACGAAAAUCGGUGCACAAACCUAAAAUUGAAAUAGGAAACGGAUGACUCCCGCAUCGCCUGUAGGAUGCUGUGUGGGAUAAUAAAUUAGGUCGAAAUUUCCCAAUUUGGUAUGAAAAUUGUUGAACCGGUUUCGAUCUGUAUCGUAUGUUAUUUUGUUUAAAAACGUCUUUUAGCGCCAAAAGGACGCGGAUCCUAAAGUUAUUGGAGGCUAUUCGGAAGUAUUUUCACUUUUUCCAGACAGCAUUGUAUGCAGGAAGGGAAAUAACUCCUGGUGCUGUCUGUGUUUUGGUGUAACAGGAUGUUUUACUGAGAGAGAGAGAGAGAGAGAGAGAGAGAGAGAGAGAGAGAGAGAGAGAGAGAGAGAACAGCAAACAAUUAAUCUCAAACAAGUAGAUGAUACUUGGGUGCGUUAAAAGGUUACAACCUUGUAUAUUGUUAAACUCUUGAAAUAUUAUAGUGGCAUGGACUUGUUGGUACUAAAGAUUCAUUUUUCUCUGUGCAGAAAUUGUACUUAUGAUGGCAGAGCCAUUAUUGACAAACACAUGAAAUAAUUUACAAUAACAAUUCCGACAGCUUGUUGAAGUUUUUUUCAUUACAUGUAACAGGUUACUAUAAUUACUGUAGUUUUAGACUGAUUAACCUUGUUUAUAUGCAAAUUCUGUGAAAACAGUUAGUACCAAUGAAUUCUUCAUGCAAUUAACUACUGAUAUCAUCUCUUUACUUGCCUCUGAUGGUCUUUAAAACACCAUCACCAGCUACGUAAACUGAAGUGAUGCAGUUUCUUUACAUGUAAAAUUGGCGACAUUCCAUCUUGAUGUAAAUUUCCAUGGUCGGUAGCAUGUUUCAGAGAAAGUCUGAGGCAAGUUAAGAGACGAUAUCAGUAGUCAAUUGCACAAAGAAUUCAUUGUUAACAACUGUUUUGAAUUUGCGUAUAAAUAAGGUUAAUCAGUUCAAAACUGGUGCACUCUUUUCUGCGCAAUAAAUAUUAUACAAUUUUUUCAAUGGGUGGCACUGUAGUGUAGCUCCCAGGUCGUCCAUCCAAAUUUUUUCAGACCUGCAGAUACUGUAUAGUAUCCAAGUAAGUUCCCAUAAUAGUUAAUGCAUUUCCAAAAUAAAAGAUGUCAAAUCUGAACCAAUUCCAACGCAUUUAUAGUUUUUUUUUUUCUGUGUUAUGAAAAAAAUUUAAUCAAGGAAGAAUUUGCAGAUGCAGAUAAUCUAUCAAAGAUCAUGGUUGAGGUAGAUUUGUGUUGAUUUGCUGCAUGGGACAAGAGUUCUAUUGAUUCAGACCCUCUAUGGCUGUCUUAGCUCUCUUGUUUUCCUGGAGAUAUUGACUCAUUUCCACACUUCACACACGUGUGAGUAAAACAUCUUUGGUUUGCACCAGUUGUGCUGCAUGCCUGUACGACUCUAUGGGAUGUGAGAGAGGCGUGCAUUGGAAUUAAUUUAAUAAGAGAGUUUUUCUUAUCCUUGGUUAACUUUCCACUCGAGGAGCAUAAGCAAUUACUUACCUGGCAGACUUGUGUAUAUAUUUUAAGAUAUUUUUACAAUGAAGGCGCGUCUUUUUUGUUGUUACCAGUUUUGUGAAUAUGCUGUAGGUCCUGUAAUUGUGAUGUUGAAAGUGGAAAAGUGUGUAAUUACGGAAUGAAUAAACAGUUUCAAUUUGAAGGAAUUUAGUUUUCAUUUUGAUAAUUUGUAAUUUAGUAUGUAGUUCUUAAUAUUGUGGGACAGUUAUAAGCUUACAAUAUUUUAUUAGUUUAUUAAUUAUACUAGUCACAUAUUGAUGAUGUAAUAACCGAAUAUUAAGAAUGUAUUAUAUAGAAAUUUUUAAAUAUUGGUGUCUUGUGUAAUUAACGUCUUUAACGAAUAUUUUCCUAAAUUUUGAUGCCAAAAAAAUCAACAUUCUUGAACUAAUUAAAAUGAUACCAUUUAUCAGCCAAAGUUGGAAGUAUAUUUUUGCCUGUGUGUGUCAUUUAGAUUGGAGCUUAUUAUGAGAGAUUAUGAGAGAUAUGUUGUGCAGCCAGUUUUUAAAAAGCUUUGAUUAUUCUAGUAAUUC
rnacentral:misc_RNA from 1 species